CAGGGCAAUGGACAGUGCCCGGGCACAGCACAGCUUAAGCGCAGGCUGACCGGGAAGGCAAUCUUCCCAUGCACUGCAGGAUUUAGGCGUUUUGAUUCCACAGCCCUGCCAUGAGCUGGCUGGGCACAAAGCCGCCCCGAGCACCGGUGCCUCCUCUCCACGCUUGCCAAGGUCAGAGAAGGAGAGGCUGCAAAGCAGCCUGCUGGAGGCUCAGCAGCACGUAUCAGAGCUGGAGAUAGCCAGGAGCCGUGUGGAAGCCCAAGUGCGCACAGCCACGCAGGCCAAGGAGGCGAUACUGGAGGAUGUGAGGGGCCUUCGUCGUGAGCUGCUGGCUGUAAGAUCUCUCAGCAAGCAGCAAUGUGAAGACAUGGCUCAACAGCUCCGCUGGGCAGAAGAGCAGUGCAGCAAGGCUGUGAGACUCUGGCAAUCUGCUGAGAAAGCGAAGGAAAGAAAGAUCAUGCAAAAACUGGCGAGACAACAGCUGGAACUACAGAGGUUGGAGGCGCAGAAGAAGAUGGAGCAGCUGGAAAAAGCCCUGACAGAGCUCCAGUGCCAGAAUGCUGCUCUGUGUGAUAACAUGUGCCAGCUGAGGCAGGAGCUGAACAAGCUGAAGAAAGGGCAGAAUAUCAAGCUGCAGGCAGAGCUGCAGGACGCUCAGAGGAAGAUGAAGGCAAUGGAGAAGAGGCACAAAGAAGAAAUGGAAAGGAUGCAUAAGGUCCUGCUGCAGUACAGCCCAGCUGAAGAAAAGCAGAUGGACGCAGGAUCUGCCAUCAAAGCUGCCGCUGCAGCAGCAUCCUCCGAAGAAGCCUCCUCUCCGCAGCCCGAAAACCCGAGCGUGAGCAGUUCGGCCCUCUCAAGCCGGGAGAAAGAGAAGCAGUUCCUGAAGCUGCUGAGGCGUGAGGUGAGUGUGGGAGAUCCAGAGAAGAAGUACACUGGAUGGAGACCUAUUAGCAGUGGGGGGUUUGGAACCGUUUAUAAGGCCUUCAACGCUGCCACAGGACAAGCGGUGGCCAUAAAGCAAAUUAAUCUCCAGUGCCAGGGCUGCAAGGAUGUGUUGAAGGAAAUCCUGGUCAUGAAAGAAUAUAAGAACCCGAAUAUUGUCACCUACCUAGAAAGCUACCUUGUCAAUGAGGAUGUCCUGGUGGUGUUGGAGUAUAUGGAUGGAGGCUCCUUAGCUGAUGUGGUCAGCAUGAAAAGGAUGGCUGUAGGACACAUAGCAACAGUGUGUCGGGAGUGCCUGCAAGGCCUGGCUUUCCUUCAUGCCAACCAGGUGAUCCACAGAGACAUCAAAAGUGACAACAUCCUUCUGGGCCAGGAUGGCUCCGUCAAGCUGGCCGAUUUUGGCCUCUGUGCUCCACUCAGCCCUGAGCAGAGUAAACGGAGGUCGAUGGUCGGGACCACUUGCUGGAUGGCACCCGAGGUGGUGAGAAGAGAGCCAUACGGCCCCAAAGUGGACAUCUGGUCCCUUGGCAUCGUGGGAAUAGAAAUGGCCAAAGGAGAGGCUCCUUAUAUUCGGGAACCCAGUGAGAGGGCUAACUACCUGAUAGGCAAGCAAGGCGUACCAGACCUGCACAAGCUCAGGCUGCCCUCUGGCUUGUGUGAAUUUCUGGGCUGCUGCCUGCAGAUGGAUGUGGACAGGCGAGGCUCUGCCAAGGAACUUCUGCAGCAUCCAUUUCUCCAGUCAGCGGAGCCUCUCUUAAGCCUCUUCUGACAGCCUGAUCGCUGUCAUCCCUGCAGCCAAGUCAUGCAGGAAGCAAAGGAGAUGACAAGGACCACUUCAGCACCUGGAGAACUGAACCUGUGAGAACAGAUCACAUGGGCCCCUGCCAUCUAAAUCCCAACUCUAAGGGCUUUUCAAAUGAAAAGGAAGGAAACUUGCAGCGAAGCAAUCGAGGAAGCAGAAGAGAUGACCAGGACCACUUCAGGAUUACUUCCUCCAAAGGCAGCUUGGAGCUGGACUCACAAUAAAAGUCCUAUACACCCUCAGGCCUUAUUUUAAAUGAUGUUAAUAUCAGCACAGUGAUGGCUUGGUUUGCUGUUUGGGGUUUUUUUACUUUAUAAAUAUACUAUCAUUCCCAAAUGACCUUCAACUGCUAAGGGUGUUAAACUACUGAAAGAAUCCAUUAAAUGGUACAAGAAAAAAAAUUAGAAGUUCCCAGCACCAUACCUGUGCUCUUGCAUGAACUUCUGCAAGGAUAUUUGAGUACUGCUCUUCAAGAUAUUGCUUUUCUUUCUGCCUGCAAUGUUCCUGUGCUUUUAACUGUUCAGACAUUUUCUCAAAAGCCUCCUCCUGCUUCUGCUGAAGGUUUUUCAUAGUGUCAGUCUUGUGCUUGCAAAUAUAUUCUAGGUGAAAUAUCUGUGUGAGAAGAAUUUAAGAAGAAAUUCUUAUUUACCUUUUCACUUUGAGUCAAGCACAGACUAUUCCAGCAUAAAAUCUAAACUGUAAUUUCUUCAAAAUUAUCAUUAAAACUAAGUAAAACCCUUUUUUUUUUUUUUUUUUUGUUGAAAACCCAAGACAUUCCAGAUUAAGUUUUUAAACAAUUUCAGGGAAUUCUAGCAUGUUUCAGGGAAUUCUAGAAUGUUUUCCUUACAAGUAGCUCCUAAGUUUACGAUGUGUUUUCAACAAGCAUGAAGGGAUUCACUCUUGUGGUUUAACACUGCACCUCCCAUGCAAAUUACAUGGAGGAAUGAACCAAGCCAACAAUGAUCUCCAAAUGCACACACCUGCACUUUCUUACUAGAAAAUAUCAGCUUCCAGACGCUUCCAGAUAAAUCACGCUGAGCUGUAGGAACAAAGUUUGUUACAACACAGUCUAAAAUCCCAGAAAAGCUGCUAAGUACAUGAGAAGAUCCCUAGAGACCUCACAAUCAGUCUCAAUAACAAGGCUUAAUCAAAAAGCAAGAACAGUAAGACACAAACCCCACAAACACUGCCAACAAUAUCCAUCUCCUUCCCUUCCCAUGUCUUUCCUUCUCCUUUUCCUCUUUUACUUCAAAAGAGAAAUAAACCAGAAAACAAAG